rnacentral:rRNA from 1 species
AGAGUUUGAUCCUGGCUCAGGACGAACGCUGGCGGCGUGGAUUAGGCAUGCAAGUCGAACGGUAUGGCACCUUCGGGUGUCAGAGAGUGGCGAACGGGUGAGUAACACGUAGGUUAUCUACCCUCAAGAUCGGGACAACCCAGGGAAACUUGGGCUAAUACCGGAUGUGAGCAUCCUUUUUUGGAUGUUUGAAAGGUGGCUUUUAGCUGUCGCUUGAGGAUGAGCCUGCGUCCUAUUAGUUAGUUGGUGAGGUAAUGGCUCCCCAAGGCUAUGAUAGGUAGGCGGCCUUAACGGGUGGUCGCCCACACUGGGAUUGAGAUACGGCCCAGACUCCUACGGGAGGCAGCAGUCGAGAAUAGUCUACAAUGGCCGAAAGGCUGAUAGUGCGACGCCGCGUGAACGAGGAAGCCCUUCGGGGUGUAAAGUUCUUUUAUAUGUGAGCAGUGCCGGUCAUAUUAAUAGUAUGAUUGGAGCGAUAUUAGCAUAUGAAUAAGCAACGGCUAACUCCGUGCCAGCAGCCGCGGUAACACGGGGGUUGCGAGCGUUGUCCGGAAUUACUAGGCGUAAAGGGCAGGCAGGCGGACCUGCAAGUUUUCUGUUAAAGACGUCAGCUCAACUGGCGCACGGCAGGAGAUACUGCAGAUCUUGAAUGCGGUUGGGGAAGACAGAAUUCCUGGUGUAGCGGUGGAAUGCGCAGAGAUCAGGAGGAAUACCAAAGGCGAAGGCAGUCUUCCAAGCCGUUAUUGACGCUCAACUGCGAAGGUGUGGGUAUCAAACAGGAUUAGAUACCCUGGUAGUCCACACAGUAAACGAUGAUCACUAGGUGUCGGUUUCGUAAUAGGAUUCGGUGCCGUAGCUAACGCGUUAAGUGAUUCGCCUGGGGAGUACGAUCGCAAGGUUGAAACUCAAAGGAAUUGACGGGGGCCCGCACAAGCGGUGGAGCAUGUGGUUUAAUUCGAUGCAACGCGAAGAACCUUACCUGGACUUGACAUCCCGGGAAUCUCCUGGAAACGGGAGAGUGCCUUUCGGGGAGCCCGGAGACAGGUGCUGCAUGGCUGUCGUCAGCUCGUGUCGUGAGAUGUUGGGUUAAGUC